rnacentral:piRNA from 1 species
UGAGUCUGGAUGACCUGGGUUCC